rnacentral:rRNA from 1 species
CCCUUAGACGUUCUGGGCCGCACGCGCGCUACACUGACCAGUGCAACAAGCAUCCGUCCUUGGCCGACAGGCUCGGGCAAUCUUUGAACGCUGGUCGUGAUGGGGAUAGACUUUUGCAAUUUUUGGUCUUCAACGAGGAAUUCCUAGUAAACGCAAGUCAUCAACUUGCAUUGAUUACGUCCCUGCCCUUUGUACACACCGCCCGUCGCACCUACCGAUUGAAUGGUCCGGUGAAGCCUCCGGAUUGGCGCGCACCUCGGUGCCGCCGAGAAGUUGGCUAAACCUUACCAUUUAGAGGAAGGUGAAGUCGUANCA